AGUGAACGCUGGCGGUAGGCCUAACACAUGCAAGUCGAACGGCAGCACAGUAAGAGCUUGCUCUUACGGGUGGCGAGUGGCGGACGGGUGAGGAAUACAUCGGAAUCUACUUUUUCGUGGGGGAUAACGUAGGGAAACUUACGCUAAUACCGCAUACGACCUACGGGUGAAAGCAGGGGAUCUUCGGACCUUGCGCGAUUGAAUGAGCCGGUGUCGGAUUAGCUAGUUGGCGGGGUAAAGGCCCACCAAGUCGACGAUCCGUAGCUGGUCUGAGAGGAUGAUCAGCCACACUGGAACUGAGACACGGUCCAGACUCCUACGGGAGGCAGCAGUGGGGAAUAUUGGACAAUGGGCGCAAGCCUGAUCCAGCCAUACCGCGUGGGUGAAGAAGGCCUUCGGGUUGUAAAGCCCUUUUGUUGGGAAAGAAAAGCAGCAGGUUAAUACCCCGCUGUUCUGACGGUACCCAAAGAAUAAGCACCGGCUAACUUCGUG
rnacentral:rRNA from 1 species